rnacentral:rRNA from 1 species
CACGUAGGGCGCAAGCGUUGUCCGGAAUUAUUGGGCGUAAAGAGCUCGUAGGCGGUCUGUUGCGUCUGCUGUGAAAACUCGGGGCUUAACCCCGAGCCUGCAGUGGAUACGGGCAGACUAGAGGUAGGUAGGGGAGAAUGGAAUUCCCGGUGUAGCGGUGAAAUGCGCAGAUAUCGGGAGGAACACCGGUGGCGAAGGCGGUUCUCUGGGCCUUACCUGACGCUGAGGAGCGAAAGCCAGGGGAGCGAACAGG